ACUCUAAGCCUUUUCUUAGAGUUUCUUCCAAAGUUUUCCUAAGUCUUCCUCUACCCCUUCGGUCCUGAACCUCUGUCCCGUAGUCACAUCUUCGAACCGGAGCGUCAGUCGGCCUUCUUUGCACAUGUCCAAAUCACCAGAACCGAUUUUUUCUCAUCUUUCCUUCAAUUUCGGCUACUCCUACUUUACCUCGGAUAUCCUCAUUCUCAAUCUUAUCCUUUCUCGUGUGCCCACACAUCCCACGAAGCAUCCUCAUCUCCGCUACACCCAUUUUGUGUACGUGUUGAUGUUUCACCGCCCAACAUUCUGUGCCAUACAACAUCGCUGGCCUUAUUGCCGUCCUAUAAAAUUUUCCCUUGAGCUUCAGUGGCCUACGACGGUCACACAACACACGCCGGAUGCACUCUUACACUUUCAUCCAUCCAGCUCGUAUUCUAUGGUUGAGAUCUCCAUCUAAUUCUCCGUUCUCUUGCGAGAUAGAUCCUAGGUAGCGAAAACAGUCGCUUUUUGUGAUCUUCACUAGAUUGCUCCGAUCAUUAGUGUGGAUAAGUAUAUAAAUGGAUAGAGAUAGGAAAGCAAACACAAGAUGUACGUGGUUCACCCAGAUUGGCUACGUCCGCGGAAUAGAAGAGUUCUCAUUAAUUGUGAAGGGUUUACACAAGUACAUAUGUUCAAGCUCUCCUUUAGUGAGUACAAGUGAAUGAUUUAGUACAAAUGACAUUAGAGUACAAAUGACAUUAGGAAAUAUUGUGGGAGAACGAUCUCGUAAUCACGAAACUUCUAAGUAUCGGAGUGUGGUAUCAUCUUGACUUGCCUUAUCUGUCGCAUAGGUAGAUGUGGCAGCUUCUCUGGAAGUACUCUUCCUCCAUCCAGGGGUGGUAUCUUUAACUGGUGAAGAUGCACAAG
rnacentral:lncRNA from 1 species